rnacentral:rRNA from 1 species
CGAUGAACCUCACUUCGGGAGGGGAUUAGUGGCGAACGGGUGAGUAACACGUGGGCAAUCUGCCCUGCACUCUGGGACAAGCCCUGGAAACGGGGUCUAAUACCGGAUAUGAGCCUCCAUCGCAUGGUGGGGGCUGUAAAGCUCCGGCGGUGCAGGAUGAGCCCGCGGCCUAUCAGCUUGUUGGUGAGGUAAUGGCUCACCAAGGCGACGACGGGUAGCCGGCCUGAGAGGGCGACCGGCCACACUGGGACUGAGACACGGCCCAGACUCCUACGGGAGGCAGCAGUGGGGAAUAUUGCACAAUGGGCGCAAGCCUGAUGCAGCGACGCCGCGUGAGGGAUGACGGCCUUCGGGUUGUAAACCUCUUUCAGCAGGGAAGAAGCGAAAGUGACGGUACCUGCAGAAGAAGCGCCGGCUAACUACGUGCCAGCAGCCGCGGUAAUACGUAGGGCGCAAGCGUUGUCCGGAAUUAUUGGGCGUAAAGAGCUCGUAGGCGGCUUGUCGCGUCGGUUGUGAAAGCCCGGGGCUUAACCCCGGGUCUGCAGUCGAUACGGGCAGGCUAGAGUUCGGUAGGGGAGAUCGGAAUUCCUGGUGUAGCGGUGAAAUGCGCAGAUAUCAGGAGGAACACCGGUGGCGAAGGCGGAUCUCUGGGCCGAUACUGACGCUGAGGAGCGAAAGCGUGGGGAGCGAACAGGAUUAGAUACCCUGGUAGUCCACGCCGUAAACGGUGGGCACUAGGUGUGGGCAACAUUCCACGUUGUCCGUGCCGCAGCUAACGCAUUAAGUGCCCCGCCUGGGGAGUAC